GUGAAGCUCAUUCACUGAAAGUAGAAAAUAUUCUGUAUAGGGGAAAAUCAGAGUUCCAAGAGAUUUUGGUGUUUGAGUCCUCAAUACAUGGAAAAGUGCUUGUUCUUGAUGUCAUUAUCCAGCUGAGUGAGAAAGAUGAAUGUGCAUACCAGAGAUGAUAGCACAUCUAACUCUUUGUUCAAUUUCCUCCCCCAAGACAGUUCUGGUUGUUGGUGGUGGUGAUGGUGGGGUUCUUAGGGAGGUUUCUCGCCAUCCUUCUGUUGAGCAUAGUGAUAUA